rnacentral:rRNA from 1 species
UACGUAGGGGCCGAGCGUUGUCCGGAGUUAUUGGGCGUAAAGCGCGCGCAGGCGGCCUCGCGCGCCCGACGUGAAAGCCCCCGGCUUAACCGGGGAGGGUCGUUGGGGACGGCGGGGCUUGAGGGCGGGAGAGGGCGGUGGAAUUCCCGGUGUAGUGGUGAAAUGCGUAGAGAUCGGGAGGAACACCUGUGGCGAAGGCGGCCGACUGGGCCGACCCUGACGCUGAGGCGCGAAGGCGUGGGGAGCGAACGGG